rnacentral:lncRNA from 1 species
AGUAAUUUUAUACUUCAGUUAUCUGAUUUAAAGUAUGUAUGAACAUAUUUAGUUUUUACACCAUGUUUUUGGCAGGUUUCGAUAUUUUCAAAAAAAAAUGAUGAAAAUGCCCCUGUGAGCCAAAAAAUAAUAUUUUAUUGUUUUGAUUUGGAAACGACUUAUGAUUUCUUGAAAUGCGAAAUUUAAUAAUUGUCGCUCACC